CCAGACUCCUACGGGAGGCAGCAGUGGGGAAUAUUGGACAAUGGGGGGAACCCUGAUCCAGCGACGCCGCGUGAGUGAAGAAGUAUUUCGGUAUGUAAAGCUCUAUCAGCAGGGAAGAAAGAAAUGACGGUACCUGACUAAGAAGCCCCGGCUAACUACGUGCCAGCAGCCGCGGUAAUACGUAGGGGGCAAGCGUUAUCCGGAUUUACUGGGUGUAAAGGGAGCGUAGACGGCAGUGCAAGUCUGAAGUGAAAGGCGGGGGCCCAACCCCCGGACUGCUUUGGAAACUGUGCUGCUGGAGCGCAGGAGAGGCAAGUGGAAUUCCUAGUGUAGCGGUGAAAUGCGUAGAUAUUAGGCGGAACACCGGCGGCGAAGGCGGCCUGCUGGACCGUAACUGACGUUGAGGCUCGAAAGCGUGGGGAGCAAACAGGAUUAGAUACCCCAU
rnacentral:rRNA from 1 species